UUCACAUUACAGACAAUGGUGUCAACCAAAUUCAGAGCUUCAGUAUGUUUCUGCAUAAAAGCAAAGCAGUGGGUCUUUCUUUAGCUGGGAUAGAUAGAGUGCAAAAUGAAAUCGAGAUUUGGAGUGUUUUUUUUUUACCCUGUUUGGUUAUUUAUGCAGGGGUGGUAUGUUUGUGGCUGGGGAUGAGGUUUUGAAAAGUGUGAACAAAAAGAUUAUUCAACUAUAUUUCAGCAAUACUGUAUGUAUUUUCUGCAUCUAUAGAUAUAAUUUAAGAUCAGAUGGAUGCUUUUGGGGAAAUCAGCAAGGAGAAGACAAGCCUCCAUUUAUCUGUUUAUAUAAUGAUCCCUCAGCAGGUCGUUUCCAGUUUGAAUGCAUUGAAAAACUUUCACAUUUUAAAUGAAUAGAGAUUUACAUUAUGGAAUAUAAGCUUAAAGCAACUAAAGGCUGAUAAAAACAAUGAAAACCUUUAAAGAAAAGGUUCAUUAUACAGUGCAGUAUUUUCAACUGCCUUUCAUUGUGUAGAAUUGAAUGUAUAUAAUAUCAAAAUUCAGAUAAUAAAUUCUGUCCGUGUUCAGUUUAAAAUUGAAGUGGACUUCUGGCGAGCAUAUAGACUGCUUUCAUUCAGAAUGUCUUCUAACUAAGAAAGUGCCAGUUAAACACUCUAAGAAAUCACAUCACCUGAAUAGGCAUCAUCUUUUUUGGGACAUACCUGUUUGCUGUUAUGUUCUUGGUGUGUUUCAGGGAUAUUUUCUGCAAAUAGGUUAGAACUCAGUCCCCAUGUAACUCAGUGUUGCUGAAAAUCACUUCAUAGGACCUGGAGCAGGCUUCACAGAGACACCAAAUGUUUGGCCCAGCUGCCUCUCCUGUGAUUCUGGCCCCUUCAGAGGUGCUCAGGAAUUUAGGUGCUUCGAGCUCAGGCUGCGCUUUCAGCGGCCAUCAGCCCCGAGGCAGCGUCUGUUUCUUCACGUCCUCCAGGGUUCUCUGGUGCAAAAGGCGUUCAGUCUCCGGCAAGGCUGUUGGAGGGAAGAUGAAAUUUGUCAGGGAAUGCUGGAAGAUGAAAGGUUUUGAAAGACAGCUGUGUCUGUACAACAGGGAGGAAUGGAUCUUUAACGCGAAGAGCCUGGAUUCCACGUGGCGGCCUGUUGUUUGCUAGCUCCGCCUCCGGGCUUUGGGCUGGAGGCGGUCGGUAGGCCCGGGGUGGCGUACGUGCCUGGGCUGGAAACCAUGCAGGUAACGGAAAAACAGCAAAACACAGCAGCUUCUUUUAAAGCAAAACAGCCAGCCGCGCCGACCAAUCAGAACACAGUGAUUCCUUUACUGCCUGACUGCUAUGGAAUUCUUGGAAUGAAGGUUCCUAUAGAGAUCCUUAUUCUCCAUUUGUUAUGAAACAUCUAAAUAUUACUUAAUCACUAGAGUGUUUCUUUGACGUCUUCCUGUGACAUCCGUCUCUGGCUUAGUUGGAUAGGACGCUGUGUCUGUAAUCAGAUGGUUGUCGAUUUCAGUCCGAUGAUCAGCAGAGUGAUGUCACCAUUGGGCCCUGAGCGUGGCUAUUAACCCUAAUGUCUCCGGCGACUGUCUCACCCUGCCUUCUCAAUUAUAUAUCUCUUUGGAUAAAGGCAUCUGUUAAAUUAACAACAAAA